rnacentral:misc_RNA from 1 species
GAUGAAGAACGUAGCGAAAUGCGACAAGUAAUGUGAAUUGCAGAAUUCCGUGAAUCAUCGAAUCUUUGAACGCACAUUGCGCCCUCUGGUAUUCCGGGGGGCAUGCCUGUCCGAGCGUCAUUGCUGCCCUCAAGCACGGCUUGUGUGUUGGGCCUCCGUCCUCCUCCCGGGGGACGGGCCCGAAAGGCAGCGGCGGCACCGCGUCCGGUCCUCGAGCGUAUGGGGCUUCGUCACCCGCUCUUGUAGGCCCGGCCGGCGCUUGCCGACACAUCAAUCUUUUUUCCAGGUUGACCUCGGAUCAGGUAGGGAUACCCGCUGAACUUAAGCAUAUCAAUAAGCGGAGGA